GACGAACGCUGGCGGCGCGCCUAACACAUGCAAGUCGAACGGAGCUGAGAGAAGCUUGCUUUUCUUAGCUUAGUGGCGAACGGGUGAGUAACGCGUGAGUAACCUGCCCUGGAGUGGGGGACAACAGUUGGAAACGACUGCUAAUACCGCAUAAGCCCACGAUCCGGCAUCGGAUUGAGGGAAAAGGAUUUAUUCGCUUCAGGAUGGACUCGCGUCCAAUUAGCUAGUUGGUGAGGUAACGGCCCACCAAGGCGACGAUUGGUAGCCGGACUGAGAGGUUGAACGGCCACAUUGGGACUGAGACACGGCCCAGACUCCUACGGGAGGCAGCAGUGGGGGAUAUUGCACAAUGGGGGAAACCCUGAUGCAGCGACGACGCGUGGAGGAAGAAGGUUGUCGGAUUGUAAACUCCUGUCGUUAGGGACGAUAAUGACGGUACCUAACAAGAAAGCACCGGCUAACUACGUG
rnacentral:rRNA from 1 species